GAUGAACGCUAGCUACAGGCUUAACACAUGCAAGUCGAGGGGCAGCAGGGAGAUAGCUUGCUAUCUUUGCUGGCGACCGGCGCACGGGUGAGUAACGCGUAUCCAACCUUCCCCUUACUAAGGAAUAGCCCGGCGAAAACUGGAUUAAUCCCUGAUGGUCUCCUUUGCGGACAUCUGACGAGGAGUAAAGAUUCAUCGGUGGUGGAUGGGGAUGCGUCCGAUUAGCUAUGUUGGCGGGGUAACGGCCCACCAAGGCAACGAUCGGUAGGGGUUCUGAGAGGAAGGUCCCCCACAUUGGAACUGAGACACGGUCCAAACUCC
rnacentral:rRNA from 1 species